CCUACGGGUGGCAGCAGUGAGGAAUAUUGGUCAAUGGUCGGGAGACUGAACCAGCCAAGCCGCGUGAGGGAUGAAGGUACAGAGUAUCGUAAACCUCUUUUGUCAGGGAACAAAGGCGGGGACGCGUCCCCGGAUGAGUGUACCUGAAGAAAAAGCAUCGGCUAACUCCGUGCCAGCAGCCGCGGUAAUACGGAGGAUACGAGCGUUAUCCGGAUUUAUUGGGUUAAAAGGAUGCGCAGGCGGUCUGUUAAGUCAGGGGUAAAAGCCCGGGGCUCAACCCCGGCCCGCCGUUGAAACUGGCAGUCUCGAGUUGGAGAGAAGUAUGCGGAAUGCGCGGUGUAGCGGUGAAAUGCAUAGAUAUCGCGCAGAACUCCGAUUGCGAAGGCAGCAUGCCGGCUCCACACUGACGCUGAGGCACGAAAGCGUGGGUAUCGAACAGGAUUAGAUACCCUUGUAGUC
rnacentral:rRNA from 1 species